rnacentral:lncRNA from 1 species
AUUGAUCGUUGAAGAAUUUUUCUAUAGAAUACAACUCUACUUAUUUAUACUAAUAUAUAGUUACUGCAUAUAAAUACAAUAAUUUUUCAUUUUGACAGUUGCUUCCCAUGUCCAAUCUCCACCCCUUAUGGUUUUGAUGCCUAUUGCAGCUGUCUCCCCACUAUGCACAGGCAUGAUCAUUUUGCAAAUACCAAGCCAGUAGUCAUGCCUCGUCGGCCUUUAACUUCCCCUAAUAUAGUUUAUAUUGAUUGUCUUUCUUCAUUCGGCCGAUAAAAUAGU